AAAAUAUCACAUUUAGAUUCAUUAUUUAUGGUUCAUCAUCUCUUAACAAAAUUAAAUUUAGACUCUAACAACACAAUUUAGACUAAAAAUUAUUACAACAUAAUACAUUGUUUAUUGUUCACCCAUCAACUUUAUACCUCAAAUAAAAAUAAUAUCUUCUAUAAUCAAUCUUCCGUGAUGAGGAGCCCUAUCAAUCUUUCCAUAGCUGUUAUCACCCCAACUUGUUCCGUGUGAAUUUCUUACUAUCCAAUAUUGUUUUUAACUUUUUCUUCAC
rnacentral:lncRNA from 1 species